UACGAAGGUCCCAAGCGUUGUUCGGAAUUACUGGGCGUAAAGGGCGCGUAGGCGGCCUUCUAAGUCGAACGUGAAAUCCCCGGGCUCAACCCGGGAACUGCGUCCGAUACUGGAAGGCUUGAAUCCGGGAGAGGGAUGCGGAAUUCCAGGUGUAGCGGUGAAAUGCGUAGAUAUCGUAAGGAAGACCAGUGGCGAAGGCGGGUCUCUGGACAGUUCCUGACGCUGAGGCACGAAGGCCAGGGGAGCAAACGGG
rnacentral:rRNA from 1 species